rnacentral:rRNA from 1 species
AUUGAACGCUGGCGGCAGGCCUAACACAUGCAAGUCGAACGAGUGGCGGACGGGUGAGUAAUGUCCGGGAAACUGCCUGAUGGAGGGGGAUAACUACUGGAAACGGUAGCUAAUACCGCAUACCAUCAGAUGUGCCCAGAUGGGCUUAGCUAGUUGGUGGGGUAACGGCUCACCAAGGCGACGAUCCCUAGCGGGUCUGAGAGGAUGACCGGCCACACUGGAACUGGGAACCGGUCCAGAUUCCUACGGGAGGCGGAGGUGGGGAAUAUUGCACAGUGGGCGAAGUCCUGAUGCAACAAGGCGGCGUGUAUAAGGAAGGCGUUCGGGUUGUAAAGUACGUUCAGCGGGGAGGCGGUACCCGCAGAAGAAGCACCGGCUAACUCCGUGCCAGCAGCCGCGGUAAUUC